rnacentral:lncRNA from 1 species
CUUUACAACUCUGUGUUAAUUGAGAAGCUCAACAUUUUUUUUAGUGACUGUGGUAGUGAUUGAAAUUUGGAAAUAUGUACAGUUCCUCUGAAAAUGUCAUGGAUUCCGGGGAAAUGUCUGGAGCGAUUCUUUAAAGUUUCUGUGAAGCAGAAGCCUGCACCCUACUCAGAGCAACAGGAGGUGAUGCCAGUGGCAAGUGGAAGGAGGCAAGACCAUCACCUUCUACACCUUCUAUCUGCAGACAAAAGGCAAUGUUAAUUAGUAACUGAAGAAGAGAUCAGAGGAUGAACACUUUAUUAUGAUUUAUAAACUCAGUUUUGUCACAAUGUGUAUUAAGUCUAUCAAUUUUGAAACUGUAACUAUAAUUAAGCAGUGUAUUAAUGAUGAUAAACUAUUGCAGGACUAACAGUAAAAUUUGCUGGGAGAUAACAGAAUCAUAGAAUAACAGAGCAGACUAUCUAAUCCAUUGUUGAGUUGGGUCACCUAGAAGGGGUUACUCAGAACAAUAUUUCUUCUGUUAGAAGUAUCACCAGUAUUACUAGUCUAAUAGAUAUCCCAAACACAUCACUUAUCUGCAUGCAGCAUUCCUCAAAAUAGAAAAUAUGAAAAUGAGAGUAUAGGAAUGUAUAGAAAAUUGUGUCUUUAGUACACAUAUAUUCUCUUAUAGAUAACUUUCCUAUAGUUAGAAUUUUUCAAAUGAGAAGAUUAGAUGAGAACUGAUCAGCUUUAAAAGAACACAAACAAAAUACCAGAUGAUGAACAGGUGGAAUCAGGAAAUAAUUUAUGCUUAAACCAAAUUAAGCACUGUGCUUUUUACUUAUUUUCCAG